rnacentral:rRNA from 1 species
AACGAACGCUGGCGGCAUGCCUAACACAUGCAAGUCGAACGAGACCUUCGGGUCUAGUGGCGCACGGGUGCGUAACGCGUGGGAACCUGCCCUUAGGUUCGGAAUAACUCCCCGAAAGGGGUGCUAAUACCGGAUAAUGUCUUCGGACCAAAGAUUUAUCGCCUUUGGAUGGGCCCGCGUUGGAUUAGCUAGUUGGUAGGGUAAAAGCCUACCAAGGCGACGAUCCAUAGCUGGUCUGAGAGGAUGAUCAGCCACACUGGGACUGAGACACGGCCCAGACUACUACGGGAGGCAGCAGUGGGGAAUAUUGGACAAUGGGCGAAAGCCAGAUCCAGCAAUGCCGCGUGAGUGAUGAAGGCCUUAGGGUUGUAAAGCUCUUUUACCCGGGAUGAUAAUGACAGUACCGGGAGAAUAAGCUCCGGCUAACUCCGUG